rnacentral:rRNA from 1 species
GAUGAACGCUGGCGGCGUGCCUAAUACAUGCAAGUCGAGCGAACAGACGAGGAGCUUGCUCCUCUGACGUUAGCGGCGGACGGGUGAGUAACACGUGGAUAACCUACCUAUAAGACUGGGAUAACUUCGGGAAACCGGAGCUAAUACCGGAUAAUAUAUUGAACCGCAUGGUUCAAUAGUAAAAGACGGUUUUGCUGUCACGUAUAGAUGGAUCCGCGCCGCAUUAGCUAGUUGGUAAGGUAACGGCUUACCAAGGCAACGAUGCGUAGCCGACCUGAGAGGGUGAUAGGCCACACUGGAACUGAGACACGGUCCAGACUCCUACGGGAGGCAGCAGUAGGGAAUCUUCCGCAAUGGGCGAAAGCUUGACGGAGCAACGCCGCGUGAGUGAUGAAGGUCUUCGGAUCGUAAAACUCUGUUAUUAGGGAAGAACAAAUGUGUAAGUAACUAUGCACGUCUUGACGGUACCUAAUCAGAAAGCCACGGCUAACUACGUG